rnacentral:lncRNA from 1 species
AUGUGUUCAGUCAGGCCAAGGCAGCGGGCCAGGGAGGAAGCUGAAAGAUUCGAGUGUUGCUUUCGGUGGCGGUGGCUCUUCGUCUUUGAUUCAGGAGAUAUCCUCAGGAAGCAGGAAGGUUUGAUUUCCUUCAGUUUGCCCGUCAAAGUGAAUGCAUUGUUUAACAUGACUAGUUUAAAAAGAAAAACUAUUUGCAAGGACAUUUGUUAUGUUUCAUAAUAAUAAACCAGAAAUAAGUUUAUGCUGUUUAUAAAAGUUGUAAGUUCUGAUUUUUCAUAUUUUGAUGAAGUUGAAAAAUUACAAUAAAUUAUAUUUUUAGGUGUUUUUCAGAUGGGAAUACACAGGUGUUUAAUGGCUAUUUAAGUGUAAUCUCUCUUUAAAGAAUAUCAUUAUCACUGAAUGCAAGUUCUCAGUGUUUUAUCCAAUAAAUAAGAUUCAAAAAUAUCUAUUUCUGAACAGUGAGAUGCAUUUGUCACCAUAUAAAUAUAUGGUAUCUUAGAAAACAUGUCUGUAUUUAAGAAAUGUCAAUAUUUUCUGCUGUAUAGCACCAAAGACUAAACCCCCGUUCACACCAAGAAUGAUAACUAUAAAGAUAAUGAUAUUAGCAUCCGUACCAGCAAACAAUAUCGUCUGUCUAUUCUAAGCGCACGCUCGUCUGCCGCUUUAAAAUCUCGAGCUCGUAAUAGCAGGUUGGAUUCUGAUUGGCUGUCAAUAUUUGUAUAAAUCAUCAGCUGGAAUUUUUUUUUGAAAAUGAUUCCAAUGAAAUCGUUUCUCUGUGCCUUUAUCAUUACAGUUGUGCUGUGGACUCUGCUAUUCUUUAAUAUUGAGAACGAUUUUUAGAACUAUAUAUUUAUUGUUAUCUUUAUAGUUAUCGUCCUUAAUGUGAACAGGCCUUAAGUUACUUCAGCAGGAAAUCAAGAAACAUAAAUGGAUUCUAAGGAAAUAAUGAUUUUUGCUGCUUUUUAUGUGAAUUAUGGUAACAACAGACUGUGCUGAACUAAUCAAAUGCCAAAUGUCAGCAGAGCAAAAAGAAAAUGGACUCUGACCUUCAUUGCACAGUAAAGUAAAGAGCAGAGGCUGCUUUUGUCCACACCAUUUGUGGACGAUUUCAGUAUUGUGUAAGAGUUGUAAGUAAGAGUAUACCGG